AUUGAACGCUGGCGGAAUGCUUUACACAUGCAAGUCGAACGGCAGCACGGGGGCAACCCUGGUGGCGAGUGGCGAACGGGUGAGUAAUACAUCGGAACGUGCCCAGUCGUGGGGGAUAACGUAGCGAAAGUUACGCUAAUACCGCAUACGAUCUACGGAUGAAAGCGGGGGACCGUAAGGCCUCGCGCGAUUGGAGCGGCCGAUGUCAGAUUAGGUAGUUGGUGAGGUAAAGGCUCACCAAGCCGACGAUCUGUAGCUGGUCUGAGAGGACGACCAGCCAGACUGGGACGGAGACACGGCCCAGACUCCUACGGGCGGCAGCAGUGGGGAAUUUUGGACAAUGGGCGCAAGCCUGAUCCAGCCAUUCCGCGUGCAGGACGAAGGCCUUCGGGUUGUAAACUGCUUUUGUACGGAACGAAAAGGCUCUGGUUAAUACCUGGGGCUCAUGACGGUACCGUAAGAAUAAGCACCGGCUAACUACGUGCCAGCCGCCGCCGUAA
rnacentral:rRNA from 1 species